AAGCAUCGGCUAACUCCGUGCCAGCAGCCGCGGUAAUACGGAGGAUGCAAGCGUUAUCCGGAAUGAUUGGGCGUAAAGGGUCCGCAGGUGGCUAUGUAAGUCUGCUGUUAAAGAACCUAGCUUAACUAGGUAAAAGCAGUGGAAACUACAAGGCUAGAGUGCGUUCGGGGUAGA
rnacentral:rRNA from 1 species